UAAGGGGUGCCACCAUCAGGUGGCCGCAGAGAAUAGGCCCAAGCGACUGUUUACCAAAAACAUAGGUUUCUGCUAAGUCGCAAGACGAUGUAUAGGAGCUGACGCCUGCCCGGUGCUGGAAGGUUAAGGGGAUCUGUUAGAGCAAUCGAAGCAGUGAACUUAAGCCCCAGUAAACGGCGGCCGUAACUAUAACGGUCCUAAGGUAGCGAAAUUCCUUGUCGGGUAAGUUCCGACCCGCACGAAAGGCGUAACGAUUUGGGCACUGUCUCAACAACAGACUCGGUGAAAUUGUAAUUCCGGUGAAGAUGCCGGAUACCUGCGACAGGACGGAAAGACCCCAUGGAGCUUUACUGUAGCUUGACAUUGGGUCUUGGUACUACAUGUACAGGAUAGGUGGGAGGCUUUGAAACCAGGACGCCAGUUUUGGCGGAGCCAUCCUUGGGAUACCACCCUUGUAGUACUGGGACUCUAACCAUAGGCCAUGAAUCUGGUCUUGGGACACUGUCAGGUGGGCAGUUUGACUGGGGCGGUCGCCUCCCAAAAGGUAACGGAGGCGCUCAAAGGUUCUCUCAGUACGGUCGGAAAUCGUACGUAGAGUGUAAAGGCAAAAGAGAGCUUGAUUGCAAGACAUACAGGUCGAGCAAGGAUGAAAAUCGGACUUAGUGAUCCGGUGGUUCUGCGUGGAAGGGCCAUCGCUCAACGGAUAAAAGCUACCCUGGGGAUAACAGGCUUAUCUCCCCCAAGAGUCCACAUCGACGGGGAGGUUUGGCACCUCGAUGUCGGCUCAUCACAUCCUGGGGCUGUAGUAGGUCCCAAGGGUUGGGCUGUUCGCCCAUUAAAGUGGUACGCGAGCUGGGUUCAGAACGUCGUGAGACAGUUCGGUCCCUAUCCGUCGCAGGCGUAGGAAAUUUGAGAAGACCUGUCCUUAGUACGAGAGGACCGGGAUGGACG
rnacentral:rRNA from 1 species